UUCAAAUGGUUAUUUAAUUGUAUAAAAGUUCAGAUAUUAUAAAUAUUAUAAACCCGUCCUACCAUCUAAUCUCGUUCAGUGAAAUUAAACAUUAUUUUUU
rnacentral:sRNA from 1 species